rnacentral:lncRNA from 1 species
GUACGGAACACGGAAAUCAACAUGGCGGAUUUCUUACUUUUUUACCAAUUUUCAAAGAAAUGGCAAAACCUAAGAAGAAACGGAGUCUGACACUUGGGGAAAAAGAAGUGGAUAAAGAAGCAAAACAAGAAUAUCAAUAUUAAACUAACUUUCCAAUUGCCGCAAUGCGCCAGGAAAUCACCAGUGAGAAAACCAACAAAAAGACUGCUUACGCCAUCUGAAUCCCCUCUACAGCUUAUAUCCAGCAAACGGAAGUAUUAAGUCAUUUAGGUCACCUGUCGCUUCCAAAAAACAAACAUAAAAUAACUCUCGAUUAAAGUUAAAGUCUUCAAGAACACUUGUUUGACCUGUAGAGGAAAACAGUGAUAUAUACAGACGAUGUAGAGCACUUCUUAAACACUGAAUUGCAAGUGUGAAGAGCUGCAUAAUACAGACAAUGUAGUCCCCGUUGAUGUGGCUGAUGAAGCAAUGGACUUGAUGAAGUAAUGAUAAAAUUUCUAAAAUUGGUUAAAGAUAAAAAAUUCCACUGAAGAGUAUAUCAUUUUUUUGUGGAUGGAGGUUGUUUGUUGGUUUGGGUGCACUAAUACAACACAAAUGAGAUACUCGAACAAAACUAAGAUGUUUUGGAAACCCUGCUGGAGAAUGUUUGGGGGACGGUUUAUUCGUUUUAUGAGCGGAUACAAAAAUAGGGAAGAGAACAUAUUGGGAAUGUCAGAUCUAGGGCUGACAUCACCCUAAACAUCUUUGAUAAACAUUGCCGUACCAGAUUUGCUAGUGUUUAUACCAUUAAGUUACAAAUAAGUUUU